rnacentral:lncRNA from 1 species
GGGCAAGGCCUAGCACAGAGUUUUCACAUGGUCCACACACAGUGCAUGGACCGACGAUCCAUGGGGAGCCGUGUGGACCAAUAGAGCAUUUCCCUCAUGCUUCUCGUGGUCCACAUGAACCAAAAGGAUGUUUCCCCUCGAUUUCUUGUGGCUCAUGAGUUCUUUUAUGGUCAAGAUCCAAUGGUUCAGGAGUGUUCUGGGCUUGAUGGUGUUGCUCUGGGUCUUGAUCUGAUGGCCAGGAUGCUUGAUCAAGUGCGAUCAGAUGGGCAGUGAUGUUUGCGGCAU